AUGUCGUGAUGAGGACACUUCCAAAUUAUGUUCUUGAAUCUGUUCCAAGCCUCAUCAAGGAAUUCAAUUUCUCCCUGAUAGAAUAUAGAUAUGUCAUGCUUCAACUU
rnacentral:snoRNA from 1 species